rnacentral:tRNA from 1 species
GGGCCCUUAGCUCAGUUUGGUUAGAGCGCCUCCCUUUUAAGGAGGAUGUCGUUAGUUCGAGUCUAACAGGGCUCACCA